UUAAAAAUAAUUUCUCUUUCAGCGACUAAGCUAUCAAGUCUUAUAUAUUUUUCAAAGUGUUUAUUUCUGCUUACCCAUUCAAUUAUUGAACGACAAAGCUGUCAAGUCUUCUAUAUUUGUCAAAGUGUUUAUUUCUGCUCACCAUUCAAUUAUUCAACGAAAAAGCAGUCAAGUCCGAUAUAUUUGUCGAGGCGAUUAUUUCUCUUCAAUCAUUAAAUUGUUAAAACAAAUUAUCUUUACUGAAUUUUAGGUUUCAUUAAA